UACGGAGGAUGCAAGCGUUAUCCGGAAUGAUUGGGCGUAAAGCGUCCGCAGGUGGCUGUGUAAGUCUGCUGUUAAAGAGUGAGGCUCAACCUCAUAAAGGCAGUGGAAACUACAUGGCUAGAGUGCGUUCGGGGCAGAGGGAAUUCCUGGUGUAGCGGUGAAAUUCGUAGAUAUCGGGAGGAACACCGGUGGCGAAGGCGGCGACCUGGGUCGACACUGACGCUGAGGCGCGAAAGCGUGGGGAGCAAACAGG
rnacentral:rRNA from 1 species